UUCCAGACUCCUACGGGAGGCAGCAGUGGGGAAUAUUGCACAAUGGGGGGAACCCUGAUGCAGCGACGCCGCGUGAGUGAAGAAGUAUUUCGGUAUGUAAAGCUCUAUCAGCAGGGAAGAAAAUGACGGUACCUGACUAAGAAGCCCCGGCUAACUACGUGCCAGCAGCCGCGGUAAUACGUAGGGGGCAAGCGUUAUCCGGAUUUACUGGGUGUAAAGGGAGCGUAGGUGGCGUGUCAAGUCAGGAGUGAAAACCCAGGGCCCAACCUUGGGACUGCUCUUGAAACUGGCAGGCUUGAGUGCUGGAGAGGUAAGCGGAAUUCCUAGUGUAGCGGUGAAAUGCGUAGAUAUUAGGAGGAACACCAGUGGCGAAGGCGGCUUACUGGACAGUGACUGACACUGAGGCUCGAAAGCGUGGGGAGCAAACAGGAUUAGAUACCCGGGUA
rnacentral:rRNA from 1 species